rnacentral:rRNA from 1 species
CGGACGGGUGAGUAACGCGUGGAAAACCUGCCGUAUACUGGGGGAUAACACUUAGAAAUAGGUGCUAAUACCGCAUAAGCGCACAGCUUCGCAUGAAGCGGUGUGAAAAAACUCUGGUGGUAUACGAUGGUUCCGCGUCUGAUUAGCUAGUUGGUGGGGUAAUGGCCUAACCAAGGCAACGAUCAGUAGCCGGCCUGAGAGGGUGAACGGCCACAUUGGGACUGAGACACGGCCCAAACUCCUACGGGAGGCAGCAG